rnacentral:lncRNA from 1 species
GGGACGGGCGCUCGGGCUCUCUGUGCCCGCCGGACCCCGUCGCCCUCCGGAUGCUGCUAGUGGACGCCGACAGUCCGGAGCCCGUGCGCAGCGGGGCGCACGAGCUCGCGCUCUUCCUGACCCCCGAGCCCGGGGCAGAGGUAGGGGACCGGGGGUGGAGGACCCUGCGGGAGUCGCGGGUGGGGACCCGGGCCCUGAAACAGGUGGGAACCCGCGGUUCUCGCAGCAUCCUCGCGCGCCCGAGGGCUGGGGGGCCAGGACCGCCGCCCUCUGGAGCGGGGGCUGCCGGGGGCGACCCUGAGAUGACCGGCGGGUCUCAGCUCGUCCCCGCUGCUGCUGACCCGGGACCCCCGCCCGGGUCCCGGGACGCCGGGUCGAGCGCGGUCGGGGCUGCUGCCCUUUGCCGGGGCUGGCCCUGGGGACGCCCGACGGGCCCUGCCCCUGUCCAGCCCCGGCCUCCUCUGAGCGGUGCCAGAGCCCAGGAGCGGGAAGCCCCGAGGCCGCGGUCCGCUACGGUUGCUAGGAGCAAAAUACCACGUCCCUCUCGGCACUUUCUAUUUUAAACGCAUAAAUAAAAAGUACAGCUAAAACGAGGCUCCUGCCUCCUUCCGGCUGGAGCAGUCUGCUGAUGGAGCUGGGGAAAGUUACCGAAGUCCACUAGCAGUUAUUUAGGGCCAGAAAACAAGCCCGUUCUCUUUUUAAAUCACAAAAGCAGCGCGGAAGCGUUUAAAAUAAAGGCCGGGCGUCGCCCUCUCGUUUUCUUUCCCACUUCAGUUCCAGUUCGCAGAGAAAACCAGCACCAACUGUUGGUGCGCAUCAUUCCAACGCUCAAGAGCGCCUUUAGCGAUGUGGGUACUUAUAUAUCCGUACCUGCAUUAGACGUGAUGAUACAGUGCUCCUCUGCAACUUGCUUCUCUUUACUCAAAAUGGCAUAGAAAGCCGCUGAGGCAGCUGCAGGCCUGUGAUCCCAGCGACUUAGGCGGCUGAGGCAGGAGGAUCUCAAGUUCAAGGCCAGCCUCAGCAACUUCUGGAAGCAACUUAGCAAGACCCUCAAAAUUAAAAAAAAAAAAAAAAAAGAAAAGAAAAAGAAAGAAAGAUUUUUUUCCCGAAGGGCUGAGGCUGUAGCUCAAUGCCAAAGCACCCCAGGUUCAAUCCCGAGUACCAAAAAGAAAAAGAAAGAAAAAGUGCAGGGGAUGGAAACGUGGAGAGUGGCUGGCGAGGAUAAGGUAAGGGGACGCUGUUCCUGGUGAAGAAAGUGUUGUGACAUUAGCAGGGAUGGGUGCAGAACUUUGUGAAGGAAACUGCUGGAUCCUACACGUUAAGCAGGUGAAUUUGGGGGAAUGUGAAUCAUAACUCAGUUUAGGAAGUAACAUGCCAAGACAAAAUAAAAAAGCACGACAAAACCAAAAAAUGAGAGAGAGAGAGAGAGAGAGAGAAGAAAAUAAAUAAAUAAAAGAAGUAGCAUGCAACUCAGAUGCUGUGGUUCAUGCCUGAAAUCCCUGCAACUUGGGAUACUGAGCCAGGAGGACCGCAAAUUCUAGACUGGCCUCACCAACUUUGCAAGACCCCAAAUAAAAUAAAAAGGACUGGGGAGGUAACUCAGUGGUACAGGGCCCCUGGGUUAAAUGAGCGCAUCCAUAAGAACUAUCCUGUAGAAGUAUGAUUCCAACCACAAAUGUGAGAUACCUUUGUAAUUUAAAGUGCCCCAAGAAGCACACACAGAAACACAGAUGACAUCAUUUCACCAUAUUAAGUGUAUCCAAAAUAUCAUUUAUCCAAAAUAAUGCAGAUCCAAAAUAUUUCAACAUGUAAUAGGAAUUAUUAAAAUAAUGACAUUUUACAUUCUUUUCUCUUAACCAAGUUUUAGAAAUCAGGCUUUUUAAAGCCUGUCUCUGGGCCAGCCACAUUUUAAAUGCUCAGUAGUCCCUUGGGGUGGGUGGCUUCUGCAUUAGAGAGUCUACAUCAUUAUUUGACUUAGCAUCCCACCAUGAAAUAAGCAUUGUUUCUAUGAGCACCUACUACGCGCCAGCAGCGUGCUGCUCCGCUUGUAGGUUGUGCCCUUGCACAGGGACUGACCUAGUGGCUGCGAAGUUCUUAUGUAGAUCUCAUAGCUCAGCAACGGGGGCUUUCACUGAAUGUGUGUCGGCUUGUGGAUCCAGGAUUUAUGAACAUCUGUAAGUGGCUCAAAGCUGCUGCCCUUUGCCAGACUGGACCCUGGAGGAGACCCAAUCCCCUAUCACAUCUUGGUCUGGCGGCGCAGGGACAGGUGUCUGCAGUUUCCCCUUGGCUUCAGGGUUCUUAUUUCUUCUUUUAAAAAUAUUUUUGUUGUUGCUGUAGAUGGACACAAUACCUUUGUUUUAUUUAUUUACUUUUAUGUGGUGCUGGGGAUCACCCAGUGCCUCACACGUGCUAGGCAAGCCCUCUGCCACUGAGCCAUGUCCCCAGGCCCUGAGUGUGAGCGGCGAGAGUCCCUGUGCCCAUUCAGGUCCGCUGUGGACAGUCUUCUGAAGAGACUGUGUGUAUUGGCUGUUUUCUCCUCUGGGCUCCUUUACUCAGAACAGCUUUGCUUGGGCUCGUUUGUAAGGGACAUAAUGGAGAACCCCAACUCCCUGUAGCUCCGUGCAGCAAUAAACCCACUUAUCGCGCCUGCUGAAGUUUAUUUACCAAAAGAAGCUGAUUCCAGGCCGCGGCAGCCGCGCCAGGCUCUCCUUAGCGUUGAUUCAUUACAGGCCCCUGAGCUGCAGCUGGCAAAUGAGCCAGGAAAGGGACGUCUGCAUCGGGAAGGGCCUGAGCAGCAGGUGGCCCUCGGGCAGCCCUUUCCCCAGGUCCCGUUGGCUCUUACAGGAAGCAGCUUCUUAAUCCAGCCAGUGCCAGCCCCGCGGAUGUCCAGCUUCCUUGGUGAAAUGGGGCCUGCCCUGUUCUGUGCAGGUCGGCCUGGAGCUGGAGAGGACAGAGCAGCCAGACCUGGGCCUGCCCGCCUGGCGGUCAGACAGCAGGCCAGGGACAGAUAACACCCAUUAGUUGUGAUGAGUGCCCUGGAGACGCCCCAGGCUGGAGGGCGGCUCUGUGUGUCUGGAGUGGAGGCUGGGCAAGGCCUCUCUGAGAAGCUGUGUCUGGGCAGUAGCCCCCGGGAUGUGCAGGGACCAGGGAGCCCGAGGUCCGGGAGGGGAGGAGGAGGGUAGUACCUACCUGCAGUCCUGGAGGGCUUCCCUGAGGCAGUGACAUGUUAGGGUGAGCCCUGAAGCCUGAACAGGAGUUGGCCGGCUCCAGGAGAAAACUAUCACAGGCAGCGGAUCCAUGUUGGAAGAGCCCUGCAGCCUGCUGGGGG